rnacentral:rRNA from 1 species
GACGAACGCUGGCGGCGUGCUUAACACAUGCAAGUCGAACGAAGUGGCGAACGGGUGAGUAACGCGUAAUCAACCUGCCCUUCAGAGGGGGACAACAGUUGGAAACGACUGCUAAUACCGCAUACUGAAGGAGGGGAUUGCGUCUGAUUAGCUAGUUGGUGAGGUAACGGCUCACCAAGGCCACGAUGCAUAGCCGACCUGAGAGGGGGAUCGGCAACACUGGGACUGAGACACGGCCCAUCAGCCUACGGGAGUCAGCAGUGGGGAAUAUUGGACAAUGGGCGAAUGCCUGAUCCAGCCAUGCCGCGUGUGUGAAGAAGGUCUUCGGAUUGUAAAGCACUUUAAGUUGGGAGGCGUUACCAACAGAAUAAGCACCGGCUAACUUCGUGCCAGCAGCCGCGGUAAUAC